rnacentral:rRNA from 1 species
AGUGAACGCUGGCGGCAGGCCUAACACAUGCAAGUCGAGCGGCAGCGGGUCCUUCGGGAUGCCGGCGAGCGGCGGACGGGUGAGGAAUGCGUCGGAAUCUGCCUUUCUGUGGGGGAUAACGUAGGGAAACUUACGCUAAUACCGCAUACGACCUACGGGUGAAAGUGGGGGACCGCAAGGCCUUACGACGAAAGAUGAGCCGACGUCGGAUUAGCUAGUUGGCGGGGUAAAGGCCCACCAAGGCGACGAUCCGUAGCUGGUCUGAGAGGAUGAUCAGCCACACUGGAACUGAGACACGGUCCAGACUCCUACGGGAGGCAGCAGUGGGGAAUAUUGGACAAUGGGCGCAAGCCUGAUCCAGCCAUGCCGCGUGUGUGAAGAAGGCCUUCGGGUUGUAAAGCACUUUUGUCCGGAAAGAAAUCCUGUCGGCUAAUACCCGGCGGGGAUGACGGUACCGGAAGAAUAAGCACCGGCUAACUUCGUG